GAUGUGGAAUGUUAGAAGUGGUCAAGCAGAUGCUUAAGGGCUUUUGGCCCUGGGAGUGGGAGAAGGUGAUAGAGAAAGAAGAGAUGGACUAACUGCUAACAUUUUAUCAAGGAUAUACCCUUUCCUAUUGGACCUGACCAUUUAGGAAUGUGAGCCUGAAGCUGCUAGCAGCCAUCUUUCACCAUGUGAAACCUGAGCAUAAAGACAACACAGCUGACAAGAGAGUGAAAGAUGAAGAAAGCCAGGGUCUAGAGUAUAUAAUAUGAGCACCUGGAUCAAACUGGACCUGAAGUCAGAUAUGUGUCAACUUUAAAGUCAUGAAUAUAUUCAUUCCAGAGAAAACGUCUUAAUCAGAGGAGAGCUAUCAAGAUAAGAGUUUCAGGCACAAAAGCAAGUCAGUUGUGGGACUGUUUGUCAAACGUGGGACCUUGUGAUUUCUUUAAAUCACACUCAUAACUAACAGUCUCCUUGUCAAGGCAUGAGUCCUGGCUUCGAAGGAUAGCUUAU